rnacentral:rRNA from 1 species
UACGAAGGGGGCUAGCGUUGUUCGGAAUCACUGGGCGUAAAGCGCACGCAGGCGGAUUGAUAAGUCGGGGGUGAAAUCCCGGGGCUCAACCUCGGAAUUGCCUUCGAUACUGUCUGUCUUGAGUCCGGGAGAGGUGAGUGGAAUUCCUAGUGUAGAGGUGAAAUUCGUAGAUAUUCGCAAGAACACCAGUGGCGAAGGCGGCUGACUGGUCCGGAUCUGACGCUGAGGCGCGAAAGCGUGGGGAGCAAACGGG